AGCUCCAAUAGCGUAUAUUAAUGUUGUUGCAGUUAAAAAGCUCGUAGUUGGAUAUCUGGCCUUUGCGUUGACGACCCGCCCUCUUUUGGGAUGAGCGUUGGAGACGUGGGUCUAUUUUCCGGUUGGUGUCCAUUCCACUUUAUUGGGGCGUGGUUCACGAUCCGGAUCGUUUACUUUGAAAAAAUUCGAGUGUUCAUAGCAGGCUUACGCCGUGAAGAUCGCAGCAUGGAAUAAUAACAUAGGACUUGGCGUUCUAUUUUGUUGGUUCUGGAACCUAAGUAAUGAUUGAUAGGGACAGUUGGGGGUGCUGCUAUAGACUGGCCAGAGGUGAAAUUCUAAGACUCAGUCUAGAGCAACUUAUGCGAAAGCAUUCACCAAGGAUGUCUUCUUUAAUCAAGAA
rnacentral:rRNA from 1 species